rnacentral:piRNA from 1 species
UCGAUAUGAUGGCACUACAAGCU